rnacentral:lncRNA from 1 species
GCCACCGAAACGACUGUUUUCUCUCCCACCACCACCCCGUCCAUUGUGAAUCCAUCAGAUAGAGGCUGACAGAAGCACCCACCUGUCUGGAGGCUAUGCAGAGGAGAUGGAUCCUGUGCAUUUUGAGCAACAGAUAACCCCUAGUGAGGGUAGAAGUCACUGGCACCAGUCUCCCUGCAUAUAUAGUAUCUCACUGAGCCACGCAUGGCGCUCCCAGGGACCUAGAAUAGCCCCUGCCUGGGCUGACUGGCUCUGCAUUGUUGGAAAAUGACCACCAAUAAUGAGCCACACUAAUGAGCAGGCCGGCCGGCCGCCCUGCAUGCUUCCAUUAAGCAGUGCUGUGAUUCAUGCUCGGUUCUGCAGGAAAUCAUCAUGCCCAAUGCAUUGUGGGUCCAGAGAUGAACUGAUGAAGUCUUUUUAUGGUAUCAGGGAGAUUUGAUCUAU